GCUACACGCGACUGAGAUUUGUGCGUCAACAAUCACACAAAAGUUUUGGAAAAGUUGCUUGCCUUGCAGUGGGGAGAGCACAUUAAUUGAAAUCGGCUGGGAGUUCUUUCAAAAAUGUCCGGCUGGGUUUUUGGUGUUGAACUCGCUCCCCCCCGCCGCCCCACUACAUUCUCAAAAUGUUUAGAGAGGGAUUACCCAGGGACUAUGGAAAGCUACAAACUCAGCAACAUCUUUUUUAGUAUGGUGGUCCUGCAAAGAUCCAUUAUUACACAAAGCGAGACAGAUCACUCUGAUCAAGAAGUGAUGCGCAUUACACGGAGCAUUACGGCAGCCUGGGACACCUCCAGUUGUACAAGUAAUAAUGAAGCCUCUUGCCGCUGAAGCUGAACUUGAGCUUCUCCAGGAAACGUUGGUUAUCCAUCACAUCAGCGGCAAUGAUGAUGUCAAAUCCUUUCUAAAAAAAUGAAAUAGAAUACUUUGAAUCUGCACAAGUCGGUUGUAACUUUGUAAACAACUCACAGAUUUGACCAGGACCAGGGUGUCCU